AAGUCGCAAAUUUCAAAAUCAUUUCAGUUAUUUGCUUGCAGCAGAAGCGGCGAUGAAUUUCUACCAUAUGUUAACCGUAAUAGUUUUGGUCUUGGCCAAUUUUAUGGACCGAUCGAGUGCUAAUUGGAUAGAUGAUAUUGGCGCAGAAGUGGAAAAAGCUGGCAAAGAAGUCGAAGAAAUGGGUAGAGCUGUCGAAAAUAUGAACAUUUAAUUUUAACGCCAGCAAUAAAAUUUGUCUCAUUAUUAUAAGAAAAUAUAAACUAAAAUAGAUAUUACUACAAAUGAAAAGAUAUUAAAUGCUCAAUAAAAUUUAGAAACAUGUUUGACUGAAAAAACAAA